GAUGAAGAACGCAGCGAAAUGCGAUAAGUAGUGUGAAUUGCAGAAUUCAGUGAAUCAUCGAAUCUUUGAACGCACAUUGCGCCUUCUAGUAUUCCGGGGGGCAUGCCUGUCCGAGCGUCAUUGCUGCCCUCAAGCACGGCUUGUGUGUUGGGCCUCCGUCCUCCUCCCGGGGGACGGGCCCGAAAGGCAGCGGCGGCACCGCGUCCGGCCCUCGAGCGUAUGGGGCUUCGUCACCCGCUCUUGUAGGCCCGGCCGGCGCUUGCCGACACAUCAAUCUUUUUUCCAGGUUGACCUCGGAUCAGGUAGGGAUACCCGCUGAACUUAAGCAUAUCAAUAAGCGGAGGA
rnacentral:misc_RNA from 1 species